GAAAACGCACAGAUAAGGAGAACAUUUAAUUAGACUGGUGAAGCGAGCUUCGGUCGGUGAAAGGAAGCCCAGUCAGCUAAAUGAAAGUAGCCUUUGAGUGGCGCGAGCGAUGAGUAAUCAAAGUUCGCGAUGGUGACACCCAUUACCGUGUUGACGUAUCGUAACGAAAGUUGCUGUACGGAUAAGGUAGUCUUAAGGACUUCAAAAUCAGGUGGUACCGCGUGUAAACGCCCUGUUU
rnacentral:ncRNA from 1 species